rnacentral:lncRNA from 1 species
CAAACCUACCAAACAGCAGCAGCCAGCAGGCGACAGCUGUCUGCCGUUUUGAAAAGCAGCUCAACCUCUGUUUUCGUCCUGCCGCACAUCGCUUUGUCAACAACAGUUGACAACCCGUUACAGAAUUACCCACCACAAAAAGACCAAGCAGUGGAGAAGAGGGCAGAUGGAAGUCAAGGAGGACUAUAGGAAGCAGCGCGCUCGGGAGGAGAUGGCAUCCUGGUCGCUGGAGGUGUGUGUUGGAGUCAAGGGUUGACUGGACAUGGGAGCAAUUGCUGGACCACUGUGACAACCUGCCAGGUAGAGCCCGAGAGGCAGCCCCAAUUUUUUUGGGGGGGCACACGGGGAGUGUGGCAGAGUCAGGUUGGAGACCUGAGCCAGCUCCCCGUGCUUACAGGAGGCAACGUAGUACUGGUCAGGCACCGUGUUAUGCAGUAAAGCGCACGGUGUCCCCAGUACGCGUGGAGAGCCCGGUGCGUUACAUCCCAGCUCCUAACAUCUGCCGGGGGAGAUUGGGCAUCGAGCCAGGACGAGUUGUGCAGGCCGUGCGCUCUAGACCUCCAGUGCGUCUUCAGGACCCGGUCUAUCCUGUGCCUGCGCCCAGAACCAGGCCUCCUGCAUGUCUCUCCAGCCUGGUGAAUCCUGUGCCGCCUCCACGAACCAGGCCUCCAGUGGGUCUCCCCAUCCUGGUCAGUCCUGUGCCUGCUCCACGGACCAGGCCUCCAGUGGGUCUCCCCAUCCUGGUCUCUCCUG